rnacentral:tmRNA from 1 species
GGGGAUGAAUUUGGUAUCGACAAGAUGAGAAAGAUUAAGUUAAGUAUGUCGCAGGACUGUACUGCGUUAAAAACGGUAAUUAAAUUUAAAUGCAGACAGAAAUAAUUCUGUUCUAGCACAAGCCGCUUAAGGUUCUUAGUGCUAGUGUUUCGGUUAUUGUUUCCACGAAAUAAUCGAGGCAUAAGAUUAAGUGGAAUAUGUAAUUAAAAUCGUUUGGUGUUUUAGUUAAAGAAUUUUUGCCAAAUAGUUUAAUCCGGUUUUGUUGGUGGGGCUUGGUUAAAUGAAACUUCACAAUCAACUAAACAUAUAGAAGUAUUUAACACUUACAUUUUGGACGCGGGUUCGACCCCCGCCAUCUCCACCA